GACGAACGCUGGCGGCGUGCCUAACACAUGCAAGUCGAACGGAGCACUUUACUACGAUUUCUUCGGAAUGACGGUUUUGUGACUGAGUGGCGGACGGGUGAGUAACGCGUGGGUAACCUGCCGUAUACAGGGGGAUAACACUUAGAAAUAGGUGCUAAUACCGCAUAAGCGCACAGGACCGCAUGGUCCGGUGUGAAAAACUCCGGUGGUAUACGAUGGACCCGCGUCUGAUUAGAUAGUUGGUGAGGUAACGGCCCACCAAGUCAACGAUCAGUAGCCGGCCUGAGAGGGUGAACGGCCACAUUGGGACUGAGACACGGCCCAAACUCCUACGGGAGGCAGCAGUGGGGAAUAUUGGACAAUGGGGGAAACCCUGAUCCAGCGACGCCGCGUGAGUGAAGAAGUAUUUCGGUAUGUAAAGCUCUAUCAGCAGGGAAGAUAAUGACGGUACCUGACUAAGAAGCUCCGGCUAAAUACGUG
rnacentral:rRNA from 1 species